CCUACGGGCGGCUGCAGUGAGGAAUAUUGGUCAAUGGCCGGAAGGCUGAACCAGCCAUGCCGCGUGAAGGUCAGUGCCCUAUGGGCGUUAAACUUCUUUUGUGCGGGAGCAAUAAUGGUCACGUGUGGCCAGACGAGAGUACCGUACGAAUAAGCAUCGGCUAACUCCGUUCCAGCAGCCGCGGUAAUACGGGGGAUGCAAGCGUUAUCCGGAUUUAUUGGGUUUAAAGGGUGCGUAGGCUGUGAGGUAAGUCAGCGGUGAAAUGCCCCCGCUCAACGGGGUAAAGUGCCAUUGAUACUGCCGUGCUGGAAUGCGGAUGACGUGGGAGGAAUGUGUGGUGUAGCGGUGAAAUGCAUAGAUAUCACACAGAACACCGAUUGCGAAGGCAUCUCACGAAUCCGCGAUUGACGCGGAUGCACGAAAGCGUGGGUAUCAAACAGGAUUAGAUACCCUUGUAGUC
rnacentral:rRNA from 1 species